UUAUCAAAAACAUGUCUUUUUGUAAUAAAUUUAAAGUCUGGCCUGCCCAUUGAAAUUUUUAAAAGGCUGCAGUAUUUUAACUGUACAAAGGUAGCAUAAUCAUUAGUUUUUUAAUUGAAAACUUGUAUGAAAGGUUUAACGAAAUAUUAACUGUUUCAAGUAAAUUUUUGUAGAAAUUAAUUUUUUAAUUAAAAAGUUAAAAUAAAAUUAAAAGACGAGAAGACCCUAUAGAAUUUUAUAUAAUUAUUAUUUAUAGUUUAUUUAUAAAAUUUAAAAUUUAAAAUUUUAUUAUAUUUUGUUGGGGUGAUAAUAAAAUUUUACAAUCUUUUAUUAUUUUUAAACAAUGAUUUUUGAAUAAUUGAUCCAAUUUUAUUGAUUAAAAGAUUAAAUUACCUUAGGGAUAACAGCGUGAUUUUUUUUAGAGUUCUUAUCGAUAAAAAUUUUUGCGACCUCGAUGUUGGAUUAAGAAUAAUUUAAGGUGUAGAAGCUUUAUUAUUAGGUCUGUUCGACCUUUAAAUUCUUACGUGAUCUGAGU
rnacentral:rRNA from 1 species